CCUACGGGAGGCAGCAGUGAGGAAUAUUGGUCAAUGGCCGGAAGGCUGAACCAGCCAUGCCGCGUGAAGGUCAGUGCCCUAUGGGCGUUAAACUUCUUUUGUGCGGGAGCAAUAAUGGUCACGUGUGGCCAGACGAGAGUACCGUACGAAUAAGCAUCGGCUCACUUCGUGCCAGCAGCCGCGGUAAUACGGGGGAUGCAAGCGUUAUCCGGAUUUAUUGGGUUUAAAGGGUGCGUAAGCUGUGAGGUAAGUCAGCGGGGAAAUGCCCCCGCUCAACGGGGUGAAGUGCCAUUGAUACUGCCUUGCUGGAAUGCGGAUGCCGUGGGAGGAAUGUGUGGUGUAGCGGUGAAAUGCAUAGAGAUCACACAGAACACCGAUUGCGAAGGCAUCUCACGAAUCCGCGAUUGACGCUGAUGCACGAAAGCGUGGGUAUCAAACAGGAUUAGAUACCCGAGUAGUC
rnacentral:rRNA from 1 species